rnacentral:SRP_RNA from 1 species
UCGUGCUAGAUGGGGAGCCAGCGGUGCCCUGUAACCCGCAAUCCGCUACAGCGGGGUCGAAUUCCCUUUCUAGGGCCUGCGGUCAACAGGACUGCCUGCCGGUGAGCGUGGAUGGUUGGGUCCUGUGCGGCGGGAGCCUGUGAACUGGGUCAGGAUCGGAAGGUAGCAGCCCUAAGCGGUUACUUCUGGGUGUCACGGGGUUGCCUGGCCUGAGCAAGCCGGACGUGUGCAAGCUGAGUGACGAGGUUCGAAACUGGGUGCACGA